rnacentral:rRNA from 1 species
CCUACGGGCGGCUGCAGUGUGGAAUAUUGGGCAAUGGGCGCAAGCCUGACCCAGCAACGCCGCGUGAAGGAAGAAGGCUUUCGGGUUGUAAACUUCUUUUCUCAGGGACGAAGAAAGUGACGGUACCUGAGAAAUAAGUCACGGCUAACUUCGUGCCAGCAGCCGCGGUACUACGUAGGUGGCAAGCGUUAUCCGGAUUUACUGGGUGUAAAGGGCGUGUAGGCGGGACUGCAAGUCAGAUGUGAAAACCACGGGCUCAACCUGUGACCUGCAUUUGAAACUGGAGUUCUUGAGUGCUGGAGAGGAAGACGGAAUUCCAGGUGGAGCGGUGAAAUGCGUAGAUAUUAGGAGGAACACCAGUGGCGAAGGCGGUCUGCUGGACAGCAACUGACGCUGAGGAGCGAAAGCGUGGGGAGCAAACAGGAUUAGAUACCCGGGUAGUC